GCAGACACAUUCCAGCCAAUCAGCAGCAGACCCUCCCUCCCAGACCCUCCCACCUCCUGGACAGCAUCCAUUGUGAAGCUGCAUUCUUACUGAGCUGUCCAGGAGGUGGGAGGGUCUGGGAGGGAGGGUCUGCUGCUGAUUGGCUGGAAUGUGUCUG